rnacentral:lncRNA from 1 species
GGAAAGUCCAAGUCUAGCUUGAAUUUCACAUCCAGCCAUUGGCUUCGAUCAUAGUCAGGAGCUUCCCCGCAUGUGCAACGUUUCUCCUCUUAGGAGGUAUCCGUGAACUCCAGGAGCAGGCGGACGGUGUGUGCCAGCCCGCAAAUAUCUCAGUACCCCAGAACCAUAGACGACUCGCAAGACAUGAUGCUAGCUUGCUAGCCUUCGAGGACUCCUGAUUCCAUUAUUCUAAAUCAAGCCUAGCCCUCAUUAUCUCCUGCAUCACCGGAUACACGUGGGGCGAAGCUAGACUUUCUUUACUGCCUCCAAGUGGACUCAGCUUUCUCUGUUAGACCCAGAAGUCAUCUGGGCAGGAAAGGACCUCUAAUAACUAGAUGGUUUAUUGUCAGAUUCCCAGAUGCCUAUCAAAGUUUUUUAAAGUUCUAUUGAUAUUAGGGUUUUUAAAUAAUAACGUUACAUUUCUUGCUUAAAGUUUUACGCAGUAAAAAUACAUAUAGUAGACCAAUGUGGUAUUAGAACAGGGCUAGCCUUAAGCAAAAUUGAGAAGCAAGGAAAUGAUUACUUGUCUUUCCUUUGGAUACUUUUCUUUGUUCUUGAGAUCACUUCUCCCACCCUUUUCUGUUAGUCUCCCAACACAGUGCUGAAGGCUGUUUCUUCACAUUUUCACCAUCACAACCCAAACCCACCUGUUCAGUUUCCUCAAGAUACUGAUUAUUACAAAGCUAGACAAUCAAAUACAUUCAUCUGUACAAUUUUGCCAACAGAAAAAGCAGCUGACCAUCCCUCUCCCCUCUUGUGUGUACACACAAUCUAUAGUGACUUAUUUCAGACAUUUUCUCGUGUGUGUGUGUGUGUGUGUGUGUGUGGUCUGGUGUGGUGGUCACGUUUAACAGCCAUUUCUGGGUGUAGCUCUGAUUUGUAGUGUUUUUUAUUUCCCCUGGUAUAAAUACAUCCACCAUAGUGGAUUCCAGACUAUCAACAUGUCAACCAGCCUUCAGUUUUAACAAUCAAUGCCUGUGAGCCAGUACGAAGGGGGUCCGGCACUGACUUGGGCCAGCGCCUUUCAGGGCUGAGUAAAGAAAAUGUGAAUGGUAUGAGGUAUGCUAUGUUUUUUUAAUCUUAUUUUUUCCCCUGUUCAUCUCUCAAAAUGGAGCCUUAAACUCAGAAAUUAAUUGUUA